ACACGAGAAGGGAGGUGGUUCGGCAGAUGUAUGAAUACCGGACGCGUGAGGUGACUGCGGGCUGACGGCUCGCCACCACACCCAGUGCGGUGCCGGACCAGCGCGCGCGUGAUGCGUGCGGCCGGCCCAAUCCCAGCAGUCACCCGACCCGCGAGUCGCCGGUACGUCCGGCCGGCUCCUCCCCUGGGAGGAACCAGACUCGCGGGUCGUCUGCG
rnacentral:sRNA from 1 species